rnacentral:tRNA from 2 species
GUGCCCGUAGCUCAGUCUGGAUAGAGCACCGAUUUCCGGGGUCGGGAGUCGCAGGUUCGAAUCCUGCCGGGCACA